rnacentral:rRNA from 1 species
UACAGAGGGUGCGAGCGUUAAUCGGAAUUACUGGGCGUAAAGCGCGCGUAGGCGGCUUUUUCAAGUCGAUUGUGAAAUCCCCGGGCUUAACCUGGGAACUGCAGUCGAGACUGUCUAGCUAGAGUAUGGGAGAGGGAAGUGGAAUUUCAGGUGUAGCGGUGAAAUGCGUAGAUAUCUGAAGGAACAUCAGUGGCGAAAGCGACUUCCUGGACCAAUACUGACGCUCAUGUGCGAAAGCGUGGGGAGCAAACAGG